rnacentral:misc_RNA from 1 species
AAGUACUGAAUUAGCUGAAUGAGGGAGCUUAGUGUCAUUGCACUUAUUAGUUUGACAACCAAAAAUAUUUAGGAAGUACAAAUAACACAACUGACAUUUUAGUUAUGAGCAAUUGUACUUUUACUUUGUUCUAGUUAUUACCUUCCAGUGAUGGGAUAUGAUGUGAACUUGCUUUCAUUUGGAUAAAACUAACCAAAGGCUU